GUCUACGGCCAUGCCACCCUGAACGCACCCGAUCCCGUCUGAUCUCAGAACCUAAGCAAGGUCGGGCCUGGUUAGUACUUGGAUGGGAGACCACCUAGGAAGACCGAGUGCUGUAGGUG
rnacentral:rRNA from 1 species